GUGCCAGCAGCCGCGGUAAUACGGAGGGUGCAAGCGUUGUCCGGAUUUAUUGGGUUUAAAGGGUGCGUAGGCGGCUUUUUAAGUCAGUGGUGAAAUCCAGCAGCUUAACUGUUGAAUUGCCAUUGAUACUGGAGAGCUUGAGUACAGACGAGGUAGGCGGAAUUUAUGGUGUAGCGGUGAAAUGCAUAGAUACCAUAAAGAACACCGAUUGCGAAGGCAGCUUACUAGGCUGUAACUGACGCUGAGGCACGAAAGUGUGGGGAUCAAACAGGAUUAGAUACCCGAGUAGUCC
rnacentral:rRNA from 1 species